UGUCCUUUUUAAAGUGACGGAUGGCUUCCUUCGAUGUAUGCUCUCCUCGCCGCCUCUACCCGCCGCCGCCCUCGGGCUUCUUCUCCGACCGUCCGCCGCCGCCCGCCAGUCUUCUUCUCCAGCCGUCCGCCGCCCGUCCUCCUUCCCCUCCGAAUCUGCCCCUAAUCUUCUCCGGCGCCGCCCAUAGCCUCCUCAAUCUCCAACCUAUUGUUCUCGUGCUUCUCUGAUUUGGAUCGAGAUAGGAGUCUUGGAUCGAGUUAGGGUCCGUGUUCUUCUCCAACAUAAAGCUACGGAGUGUCCUCAAUGGAGGGUCCUGUAAUAAGAAGGAAGGAUCCUCGACCGGAAUCUGCCCCAGGCAGGACCUCAAUGGCGACUUGCAGGCCCGGCCUCUCUCUCUCUCUCUCUCUUUCGACUCCCUCUUUUUGCGACCUCAAGAAGCUACGGCGGCUCAUCCUCGAGGCCAAGCUCGUGCAAUUCCGACGACUCCAGGCCUAAUUUGUUUCCUGCUCUAUCUGGUCCAAGUGAUGCGCCAAGGGGAUUUGCACCAGCCUUCAGGAUUGUUCAGUUUCAUGCUAAGAAAAAAAUAGGGUUGAGGGGAACCACUUCUUUGGCGUGUUGUUCCAAUAGUUCAUGAUGAUGAGAGUCCAUGCCAGCGCAACUCUCGCAAUUCUCUGAACUCUUUCUGAAGUAUACUGCAAGAUUCGAUUAUAGUGUGGCCUUCAAAUCAGAGCUACAAUAUUGCCUUUGUAGCUGCAUGGUGGGUAUCAAUUUUUGUUAUCACUGAUCUUCCCAAACUGAAGCUUAGAGAGAUCAAAAUGUUACAUGCUGUAGGGCCAGGAGUGAACUAAACUCGUCCGACAGUGUUCUACGGUUCGCCGCAACUUCGUAGGCCGGUUUUCCACUUGAGGUAUGUAGACAAGGAGGAUUGAAAUCAUGGUAUUUGGUUCUCUGCAAUCUAUAGUAAUAUGUCUUUGGUCUUAUUUUCCUACUGCUAGUUGUGUUUGUGGUACAUAACACUCUGAUGUUGAAAGGGUGGAUCAGGUCAUGGAGUACCUAUGCCCCCAUCGAGUAGCUUAUGCAUCCUAUAUUUAGCUUUUCAAGAUUAUUAGAUGUUUUAUGUCAAGAUGAAUACAUGGAUAGUCCGCUAUUUGCAGUAUUGUUAUAAUUGCUCCCUGCUUCCGAUAAAAUGAUUUCUUUUGUUCAUUAGAGUUACAGUAUUACAAUGCAAUGGUUGUUAUAAUAUGGGGAACUGGUUAAUUAUAAGAGAGUGUCACAUAUGAGGAUGAAAGCAUGGAUCAGCUCCUGUAGUAGUUAUCUUUGAUUUACGAUAGAGUUUACUUAUGGUUAUAGAAUGGAACUUUGUAUUAUUUUGCCAUCCUAUUUCCUUUUUGAAAAUAGCUACAGCAACUGUCAGUUUAAAUUGAUGCGAGCAAGUAAAUAACGCAAUUUUCUUAAUAACUUUUGCCGCACAUAUUGUAACUGUAAGCCGCUAUUCAGGAUCAAGGUAACUCUCUAUGUAAUUCCAGAGCAGAGGUUUAUAAGGUAACUCUCUAUGAAACAGAUGUUUUGUGAACGAGCAGAUUUGAUGUUUGAUUUGCAUAAACAUGGGAAAUUCAUAGUUAUUUACUAUUCAAAUUUGAAGCUAAUAUGGUAUUUGAUUCAUGCAUAGGGCUGAAGGUUUUACUCAAAUUCGUGUUAUACUAGAGUUAGCGCCUAAAAAAAUGUCUGUAUCUCUUGGGGGAGGAGGUGGGAGAGAUGUAGCAGGUAGAAGAUGGACCGUGGAUAAGAAAGAGGAAGGGAUAAAGUGUCAAUCGGCAAUGAAAACUUUAGUAUUUGUGAUGUAAAUUUGAAUGCUAAAGUUUGAAUUUUUUUCCUGGUCUUAAUUUUUUCUUUCAAAUGCAAGUGGAUUAAUCUGCAUAAAAUUUAAUAAUAUGUUGUAUUCAACUUUAUUUGGAUUUGCCUUCCACUCAUAGGUUGGAGUCUAGAGUUUACGCAUACCGUUGCAUCAGUAUUGUUGCAUCAUGGUCAAUUCUCUUGGACAGAUAGCUGAGGCCAUUGCAUAAUUUCAGAGGUACUUAUAAAUAUAAAAUGGCUUUCUUUAGCAAAAAUGCAAAAGUUACGAUGUUUAUUUUGAUAACCUUGACAAUGUCAAGUACAUAGAAUUGGAAUGGAGCCGAGCAACCCUGGUUCAUUGUAACUGGUGUUUGCUUCACAUCGAAUCAUUGAAGGAGUAUGAUGCUGCUUUGGAAGGAGGCUUUUCUCAAUCUGUGCUGCUUUCGGAGCGAGGCUGGGCCACAUCCACACUAUUGUCGCUCGCCUGCCUGGGCCUGGGACGUGUUAUUGAAGCCUUCACCAUGCUACAGAGGACAGUCAUGAAGCUCAGUGUUAGAAGACAAGUUGGCUUCGUAUAUUGGCGAAAUCUCAACCCAUGUUCUUCAGUUGGCUUCAUAUAUUGGAUGUUGACACUUCGCUUGCUUCUGAUAAGAAUGCUUGGAAAGUUAUAAUGAAAAAUGGAAAACUUGUGUAGUUUUACAAGACAAGUAAGCGCCUAUGACUUGCAGUCAUCUCCUUUCCUAUCCAACACAACGCAAGUGCGCACGACAGCUAGCACAACAAACAAACACCAAGCAAGCACACGUACACAACAGUAGCAUGUAGCAAGCUAUCACCCACGCGCCCGACACAACAGCCGACUCGGGACUGGAUGACCACGACGUGCGUGGGUUGAGGCCUCACCGAAGGAGCGGCGCUUGCGGUGUCUGCAUGUUCGGCCUCGCUACACUCCAGAAUUGUCACAUCACGGAGCGCUGCAGUAGGGCAACGAUUCUGCUAGAGGUAAAUAGGGGUUUGGGGUGCUAUUGUCCAAGAUUGUGCUACCAAGGAUUGUGGAUCUUAACUAUUAGACUAUUCAUUUGUAAUCUUAAUCUAUAAAAAGAAAGUAAGGUUGUAUUGUAUUUAGCACUCUUGUGAUAAGAAUGCUUUUUUUGUUGUUCUUAUUAAAA